GGACGAACGCUGGCGGCGUGGAUUAGGCAUGCAAGUCGAACGGUAUGGACCUUUCGGGGUUCAGAGAGUGGCGAACGGGUGAGUAACACGUAGGUAAUCUACCCUCAAGACGGGGACAACCCAGGGAAACUUGGGCUAAUACCGGAUGUGUGUAGUGGCUAUUUUUCUGAUUAUCAUUAUUUACGUAAGUGAGUAAUAAUAAGAAGGGAAAGUGGUUAUUACAUAAAAGGUGGCGUAAGCUGCCGCUUGGGGAUGAGCCUGCGUCCUAUUAGUUAGUUGGUGAGGUAACGGCUUACCAAGGCUAUGAUGUUUAGGGGUCCUGAGAGGGUGGUCCCCCACACUGGUACUGAGACACGGACCAGACUCCUACGGGAGGCAGCAGUGAGGAAUAUUGGUCAAUGGGCGCAAGCCUGAACCAGCCAUCCCGCGUGCAGGAAGACGGCCCUAUGGGUUGUAAACUGCUUUUCCAGGGAGAGAAACUUACGCACGUGUUGCGUGACUGACGGUACCCUGGGAAUAAGCAUCGGCUAACUCCGUGCCAGCAGCCGCGGUAAUACGGAGGAUGCAAGCGUUAUCCGGAUUCAUUGGGUUUAAAGGGUGCGUAGGCGGGCUAUUAAGUCAGUGGUGAAAUCCUGCAGCUUAACUGCAGAACUGCCGUUGAUACUGAUAGUCUUGAGUUUGGUUAAGGUAGGCGGAAUGUGUAAUGUAGCGGUGAAAUGCUUAGAUAUUACACAGAACACCAAUUGCGUAGGCAGCUUACUGAGCCGACACUGACGCUGAGGCACGAAAGCGUGGGGAUCAAACAGGAUUAGAUACCCUGGUAGUCCACACAGUAAACGAUAAUCACUAGGUGUUGGGUUCUUAAGAGGAUUCAGUGCCGGAGCUAACGCGAUAAGUGAUUCGCCUGGGGAGUACGAUCGCAAGGUUGAAACUCAAAGGAAUUGACGGGUCCCCGCACAAGCAGCGGAGCGUGUGGUUUAAUUCGAGGCUACGCGAAGAACCUUACCAGGGUUUGACAUGCUAGUGGUAGUGAAGCGAAAGCGGAACGACCCUUCGGGGAGCUAGCACAGGUGCUGCAUGGCUGUCGUCAGCUCGUGUCGUGAGAUGUCAGGUUAAGUCCUGUAACGAGCGCAACCCUCGUCGCUAGUUAUACGUGUCUAGCGAGACUGCCCGUGAUAAACGGGAGGAAGGUGAGGAUGAUGUCAAGUCAGCAUGGCCUUUAUAUCCUGGGCUACACACACGCUACAAUGGCCAGUACAAUGGGUUGCCAAGUCGCGAGACGGAGCCAAUCCCGUAAAGCUGGUCUCAGUUCGGAUUGCAGGCUGCAACUCGCCUGCAUGAAGUCGGAGUUGCUAGUAACCGCGCGUCAGCACAGUGCGGUGAAUACGUUCCCGGGGAU
rnacentral:rRNA from 1 species